ACGAACCGGACGAACGUUAUUCGGAAUUACUGGGCUUAAAGAGUACGUAGGCGGCCUUGCAGGUUGGGUGUGAAAUCCCACGGCUCAACCGUGGAACUGCGCUCAAAACCGCAAGGCUUGAGGGAAGUAGAGGUAAGCGGAACUGAUGGUGGAGCGGUGAAAUGCGUUGAUAUCAUCAGGAACACCAGUGGCGAAGGCGGCUUACUGGGCUUCUUCUGACGCUGAGGUACGAAAGCUAGGGUAGCGAACGGG
rnacentral:rRNA from 1 species